GUAGGUGUAGUUUAACCAAAAUCUUAGAUUGUGAUUCUAAAAAUGGGGGCUGACAUCCCCCCACCUACC
rnacentral:tRNA from 1 species